rnacentral:tRNA from 7 species
GCGACAGUGGCUCAGUUGGUGGAGUACGACCUUGCCAAGGUCGGGGUCGCGGGUUCGAGUCCCGUCUGUCGCU